UAGGGAAUCUUCGGCAAUGGACGAAAGUCUGACCGAGCAACGCCGCGUGAGUGAAGAAGGUUUUCGGAUCGUAAAACUCUGUUGUUAGAGAAGAACAAGGACGUUAGUAACUGAACGUCCCCUGACGGUAUCUAACCAGAAAGCCACGGCUAACUACGUGCCAGCAGCCGCGGUAAUACGUAGGUGACAAGCGUUGUCCGGAUUUAUUGGGCGUAAAGCGAGCGCAGGCGGUUUCUUAAGUCUGAUGUGAAAGCCCCCGGCUCAACCGGGGAGGGUCAUUGGAAACUGGGAGACUUGAGUGCAGAAGAGGGGAGUGGAAUUCCAUGUGUAGCGGUGAAAUGCGUAGAUAUAUGGAGGAACACCAGUGGCGAAGGCGGCUCUCUGGUCUGUAACUGACGCUGAGGCUCGAAAGCGUGGGGAGCAAACAGG
rnacentral:rRNA from 1 species